rnacentral:ribozyme from 1 species
AUAGAUAGAUAGAUAGAUAGAUAGAUAGACAGACAGAUGAAAAAAAUCCAAAUAGAUUUCCUUAAUUUCUUUCCCCUUUUCAGUUCACUUUCUUCCUCCUGUACUUUCUUCUGU